rnacentral:rRNA from 1 species
UGAGCUUGAUCCUGGCUCAGGACGAACGCUGGCGGCGUGCCUAAUACAUGCAAGUCGAGCGAAUCUGAUAAAAGCUUGCUUUUUGAAGAUUAGCGGCGGACGGGUGAGUAACACGUGGGCAACCUGCCUGUAAGACUGGGAUAACUUCGGGAAACCGGAGCUAAUACCGGAUAAUAUAAAGAACCUCCUGGUUCUUUAUUGAAAGAUGGUUUCGGCUAUCACUUACAGAUGGGCCCGCGGCGCAUUAGCUAGUUGGUGAGGUAACGGCUCACCAAGGCGACGAUGCGUAGCCGACCUGAGAGGGUGAUCGGCCACACUGGGACUGAGACACGGCCCAGACUCCUACGGGAGGCAGCAGUAGGGAAUCUUCCACAAUGGACGAAAGUCUGAUGGAGCAACGCCGCGUGAGCGAUGAAGGCCUUCGGGUCGUAAAGCUCUGUUGUUAGGGAAGAACAAGUACCGGAGUAACUGCCGGUACCUUGACCGGUCCCUACC